CACCAAGUGCUGAGAUCCUGACUCAACCUUCUGCAGACCAAGAAGUGAGCGAGAGAUCCACUUCAUCCUUCCAACAGACACCAAGUGUUGACAUCCUGACUCAACCUUCUGCAGACCAAGAAGUGAGCGAGAGAUCCACUUCAUCCUUCCAACAGAUUCCCAGCAGAGCACAGCACUUCAACUACAUUCAUCCCAGGCAUCCUCAAAACACCCCAGUGGAAAGCAAGCUGGAAAGGUGAAAAGCAAGUGGACAGAUGAUGAAGUGAAGGCUGUUGAGCAGCACAUGUUGCAUUUCAUAACAAGCUGCAAAGUACCAG